rnacentral:rRNA from 1 species
GUGAGGAAUAUUGGUCAAUGGGCGGAAGCCUGAACCAGCCAUCCCGCGUGAAGGAAGGCGGCCCUAUGGGUUGUAAACUUCUUUAGUACAUGAAGAACAGGAUCUACGCGUAGGUUUAUGACGGUAAUGUACAAAAAAGCAUCGGCUAACUCCGUGCCAGCAGCCGCGGUAAUACGGAGGAUGCGAGCGUUAUCCGGAUUCAUUGGGUUUAAAGGGUACGUAGGUGGCCCUGUAAGUCAGUGGUGAAAAUCUGCCGCUUAACGGUAGGGGUGCCAAUGAUACUGCGGGGCUUGAGUACAGUUGAGGUAGGUGGAAUGUGUAGUGUAGCGGUGAAAUGCAUAGAUAUUACACAGAACUCCGAUUGCGAAGGCAUCUUACUAAGCUGAAACUGACACUGAUGUACGAAAGCGUGGGGAUCGAACAGGAUUAGAAACCCGAGUAGUCC